UACGAAGGGGGCUAGCGUUGCUCGGAAUGACUGGGCGUAAAGGGCGCGUAGGCGGCUUGCACAGUCAGGCGUGAAAUUCCUGGGCUCAACCUGGGGACUGCGCUUGAGACGUGUGGGCUUGAGUGGGGAAGAGGGUCGUGGAAUUCCCAGUGUAGAGGUGAAAUUCGUAGAUAUUGGGAAGAACACCAGUGGCGAAGGCGAGUCCCUGGACAACUUCUGACGCUGAGGCACGAAAGCUAGGGGAGCAAACAGG
rnacentral:rRNA from 1 species